rnacentral:rRNA from 1 species
UCUAGAGGCUUCGGCAAUGGGCGAAAGCCUGACCGAGCGACGCCGCGUGGAGGAUGAAGCCCUUCGGGGUGUAAACUCCUUUCGACCGGAAAGAAGGCCCGGAUGGUGAAUCCGGGAUUGACGGUACCGGUGGAAGAAGCCACGGCUAACUCUGUGCCAGCAGCCGCGGUAAGACAGAGGUGGCAAGCGUUAUUCGGAUUUAUUGGGCGUAAAGGGCGCGUAGGCGGCCAGGCACGUCCGGUGUGAAAACGCUACCGCUCAACGGAGCGAAUGCGCUGGAUACGGCCUGACUCGAGUCCGGGAGAGGUGAGUGGAAUUCCUGGUGUAGCGGUGGAAUGCGUAGAUAUCAGGAAGAACACCAGUGGCGAAGGCGACUCACUGGCCCGGUACUGACGCUGAGGCACGAAAGCGUGGGGAGCAAACG